GGAAUAUUGUGGGGCUUCGGUGAGAAAGAGUGGACACAGAGCCAUCGAGAGCACAGUGAACAGAGGUUAUUGGCAACCAAGCGUGAGUAACCGCUAUGAUACUUCUCUGUACAUGACUUGUAUGAAGAGUCGUCCUGGUGUGUGUUCUUGUGUUUCGUGAGGUCCCUGGCCCCACUGGAGAGGAGAGCGUGGGUGAGCCGCGGGUUGACCGGAAGCACGGACGAAGCACCGCCCGCCAGUACGCCAGUGGCCCUGUGGGAAAAAGGAAGUGCAGCGUUCAAACUGCCCAGCCUCUGACGAGACACGAGAUGAUGACAUCUGUUGUGGCCUGAGUCCUAUAGAGAGAGAAAAUCAAGCCCUGUGCCCGGGGUGUGACAACGAGAGCUUCGUCUAUACACUGUAGCGCAACCAGUAAAGCUCUGUGUGGGAACGAGGAUCCCCCGGCUCUGUGAGUAACGCAGCCUGUGAGAUAACCUGUUCUGUGCUUAUAGCAACUACCUACCUGAACCAGUGAAGCUCUGUGUGGGAACGAGGAUCCCCCGGCACUGUGAGUAACGCAACCUGUGAAAUAACCUGUUCUGUGCUUAUAGCAACUACCUACCUGAACCAGUGAAGCUCUGUGUGGGAACGAGGAUCCCCCGGCACUGUGAGUAAUGCAACCUGUGGAAUAAAUCUGUGCUGUGCUUAUAGCAACUACCUGCCUGCAUCAGUGAAGCUCUGUGUGGGAACGAGGAUCCCCCAGUACUGUGAGUAUCGGCGAAGUAUUUACCCUGGUCUGACUGUGUGUGAUUCUGCCUCCAGGAGAAGCGGAGCGCGCCACGGAUCACUGGGCCAGAGCCCCGGUCCCCAGUCUUUUCCCCAAGUGGCCCUGGAGGCAAAGAAGAGCCACAUUAGUUUUAAAUUGCCCUUUCCCCUUUCCCCCUUUUCUUUUAAAUAUUUAAUAAAGUUUAUUUUAAUUAUA